GACGAACGCUGGCGGCGUGCUUAACACAUGCCAGUCGAACGGAAAGGCCCUGCUUUUGUGGGGUGCUCGAGUGGCGAACGGGUGAGUAACACCUGAGUAACCUGCCCUUGACUUUGGGAUAACUUCAGGAAACUGGGGCUAAUACCGGAUAGGAGCUCCUGCUGCAUGGUGGGGGUUGGAAAGUUUCGGCGGUUGGGGAUGGACUCGCGGCUUAUCAGCUUGUUGGUGGGGUAGUGGCUUACCAAGGCUUUGACGGGUAGCCGGCCUGAGAGGGUGACCGGCCACAUUGGGACUGAGAUACGGCCCAGACUCCUACGGGAGGCAGCAGUGGGGAAUAUUGCACAAUGGGCGGAAGCCUGAUGCAGCAACGCCGCGUGCGGGAUGACGGCCUUCGGGUUGUAAACCGCUUUCGCCUGUGACGAAGCGUGAGUGACGGUAAUGGGUAAAGAAGCACCGGCUAACUACGUG
rnacentral:rRNA from 1 species